CCCGUCAGACCCUCUAGAGGGCUCUACUUCCAGACUAGCUGGUCAUAUUUUAAACGACUAUGACACCACCUACUCUGAUGAGGAUCCUACGGUGAAUAUGCCCCAGGAUUCCUCAACAUCAGAGUUUAUUAAGGAAACCUUUCAUGUUCAAGAUGCUAAAGGUGCCCCUCCAACUAAAGAGCCUGCUUCAGACACCCUCCUGGAUGCUUCAGGCCUCCCCCUUUUUGAUCCAAGGGUGAUUCGCCACCCACGGUCUGCAGAAUGGACCCCUCCUGAUCACAUUGCCAGUUACUGCAAAAUGU